UACAGAGGGGGCAAGCGUUGUUCGGAAUUACUGGGCGUAAAGGGCGCGUAGGCGGCCUUCUAAGUCGAACGUGAAAUCCCUGGGCUCAACCCAGGAACUGCGUCCGAUACUGGGAGGCUUGAAUCCGGGAGAGGGAUGUGGAAUUCCAGGUGUAGCGGUGAAAUGCGUAGAUAUCGUGGAGGAACACCGGUGGCGAAGGCGACGUCCUGGACCGGCAUUGACGCUGAGGCGCGAAAGCCAGGGGAGCAAAGCGGGG
rnacentral:rRNA from 1 species